GCUCCACCUACGGAGGUGGAGUCCUGGAUUUGACUUCUCAUUCUGCUACUUGCUGAGUGCCUUGGGCAAGUCCCUGAAAUGGGAAAAAAAACUCUGGGUGUGUUACCUCCCGGAGCUGUCAAGAAAACAGAGGAAGAGGGAGUCGUGGGGGAGGUGCUGGCACUUGACCUUUUCCUUCUGGCCCUUUCGUCCCCAGGCCCACACGGCGCACGGAGUAGGCAUCUGAUCCACAGGCCUCGUUCGUCUGUUCAACCCGUCUUCAGCGACUGCUCCUACGUGCCAGGCAUUGUUCUAAGUGCUUGGGACACAUCGUGAGCAAAAACGAUGAAGAUUUACAUGACGCAGCAGUGACUGACAUACUAGAUUAGAAGAACACAGCGCUUAGCAAGAUGUGGAUAAAGUUGCUUGCUGCUUCUUUACGCCCGGUUUUCCCAAUCACCUUGAGAGACGUCCUUGAUGCUAGACCGGGCCCGGAAGCAAAUUUGUAUUCAUCUUCAGCUGACUGCAGCCAUACCCUCUGUGAGAACAAGCCAGCGUCUGUCUUGCACCCCCC